AGGACGCCUACAUUAGAUACCCCUGUAGUCCCAGCCGUAAACUAUGCGCGUUAGGUGUAUCGGUGACCACGAGUUACCGAGGUGCCGAAGGGAAACCGUGAAACGUGCCGCCUGGGAAGUACGGUCGCAAGGCUGAAACUUAAAGGAAUUGGCGGGGAGCACCACAACGGGUGGAGCCUGCGGUUUAAUUGGACUCAACGCCGGGAAGCUCACCGGAUAAGACAGCGGAAUGAUUGCCGGGCUGAAGACUCUGCAUGACUAGCUG
rnacentral:rRNA from 1 species